UGGGAACGUGCCCUUUGGUUCGGAAUAACUCAGGGAAACUUGAGCUAAUACCGAAUAAGCCCUUACGGGGAAAGAUUUAUUGCCGAAGGAGCGGCCCGCGUCCGAUUAGCUAGUUGGUGAGGUAAUGGCUCACCAAGGCUACGAUCGGUAGCUGGUCUGAGAGGAUGACCAGCCACACUGGGACUGAGACACGGCCCAGACUCCUACGGGAGGCAG
rnacentral:rRNA from 1 species